CCAGCACAGAACCUGACACAGGGCUUGAACCCACGAACCGUGAGAUCAUAACUUGAGCCUAAGUCAGACACUCAACCAACUGAGCCACCCAGACGCCCCGGCUUAUGUUUCCUUUUGUGAAAUACAGCCUCUGUCUGACAGUGACUGCAGUUUACAAAGAGUAACCGGGCCAGACACCUGGGCAUCUGUGGUCCAGGAUGGCCAGGAGCUUCUGAUGCACAGGGCUGAAGCCAGAACCAGUAGAAAGAAGUGACCGGACCCUUCAAGAGACCACGGCAGAAGCAGGGUGGCCACGGCUGAUGGCAAAGGUAACUCUAGGCAGAGAGAGCUCAUGGUUCAGGGCCAGGCCAAACGCAGGACCCAUGGGAGGAUGUGCCACCCCAAAGAGGGGAAGACCAAGGAUGGCAAGGGCGGCUUCAGGGUGAAAAGCA